UACGGAGGGUGCGAGCGUUGUCCGGAAUCACUGGGCGUAAAGGGCGCGUAGGCGGCGCGGAUAGUCGGCGGUGAAAGCCCGGAGCUCAACUCCGGGUCGGCCGUCGAUACUUCCGGGCUUGAGCACUGUAGAGGCAGAUGGAAUUCCGGGUGUAGCGGUGGAAUGCGUAGAUAUCAGGAGGAACACCGGUGGCGAAGGCGGGUCUCUGGGCAGUAACUGACGCUGGAGGAGCGAAAGCGUGGGGAGCGAACAGG
rnacentral:rRNA from 1 species